rnacentral:rRNA from 1 species
UACAGAGGGUGCGAGCGUUGUCCGGAAUCACUGGGCGUAAAGGGCGCGUAGGUGGCGCUGCAAGUCGGUGGUGAAAGCUCGUCGCUUAACGACGAGUCGGCCAUCGAAACUGCAGGGCUGGAGCACUGUAGGGGCUAAUGGAAUUCCGGGUGUAGCGGUGGAAUGUGUAGAGAUCCGGAAGAACACCAGUGGCGAAGGCGGUUAGCUGGGCAGUUGCUGACACUGAGGCGCGACAGCGUGGGGAGCAAACAGG